CUGCCUUGCGAAAAAUGGAGGGAUCCACAAAUCAGUCAUAUAAAAACUAGUGUUAAAACAAGAAAACCCGUACAAAUCACAACGGAAAACGAUCGAUUCCUGGAACUGGACACUGCUUUUAUUUUGCGACUUAGGACGAGCUAAGUCGUUUUAGCGCUGGCUCAACUCAUUGAAGUACUGAAGAAAUAAAAAAGGCAGACCUCCAAAGGCAGGCCUCCAAAGGCAGGCCUCCAAAGGCAGACCACGAGUUGGCUUGACGACGUAGAGACAGAUCUACAACA